rnacentral:ribozyme from 1 species
GGUGUCUCCAGAGACACGAUCCACCACGGCACGGACGAUCCGGAGGAGAUCAGACAACUGAAGGAAGCGCAGGGCUCCUUCAAUCAGCGGGA